GACGAACGCUGGCGGCGUGCCUAAUACAUGCCAGUAGAACGCUGAAGGAGGAGCUUGCUUCUCUGGAUGAGUUGCGAACGGGUGAGUAACGCGUAGGUAACCUGCCUGGUAGCGGGGGAUAACUAUUGGAAACGAUAGCUAAUACAGCAUAAGAGUAGAUGUUGCAUGACAUUUGCUUAAAAGGUGCAAUUGCAUCACUACCAGAUGGACCUGCGUUGUAUUAGCUAGUUGGUGAGGUAACGGCUCACCAAGGCAACGAUACAUAGCCGACCUGAGAGGGUGAUCGGCCACACUGGGACUGAGACACGGCCCAGACUCCUACGGGAGGCAGCAGUAGGGAAUCUUCGGCAAUGGACGGAAGUCUGACCGAGCAACGCCGCGUGAGUGAAGAAGGUUUUCGGAUCGUAAAGCUCUGUUGUAAGAGAAGAACGAGUGUGAGAGUGGAAAGUUCACACUGUGACGGUAUCUUACCAGAAAGGGACGGCUAACUACGUG
rnacentral:rRNA from 1 species